GACAGAGGUGCCGAGCGUUACGCGGAAUCACUGGGCUUAAAGCGUGUGUAGGCGGGCGAUCAAGUACCUUGUGAAAUCCCACGGCUCAACCGUGGAACCGCUGGGUAUACUGGUUGUCUUGAGCCGGCUAGGGGCGAGCGGAACAGACGGUGGAGCGGUGAAAUGCGUAGAUAUCGUCUGGAACGCCGAAGGUGAAAACAGCUCGCUGGGGCCGCGCUGACGCUGAGACACGAAAGCCAGGGGAGCGAACGGG
rnacentral:rRNA from 1 species